rnacentral:rRNA from 1 species
GAUGAACGCUGACAGAAUGCUUAACACAUGCAAGUCUACUUGAAUUUGGGUUUUUAACUUAGGUUUGGGUGGCGGACGGGUGAGUAACGCGUAAAGAACUUGCCUCACAGCUAGGGACAACAUUUAGAAAUGAAUGCUAAUACCUAAUAUUAUGAUAAUAGGGCAUCCUAUAAUUAUGAAAGCUAUAUGCGCUGUGAGAGAGCUUUGCGUCCUAUUAGCUAGUUGGUAAGGUAAAGGCUUACCAAGGCGAUGAUAGGUAGCCGGCCUGAGAGGGUGGACGGCCACAAGGGGACUGAGAUACGGCCCUUACUCCUACGGGAGGCAGCAGUGGGGAAUAUUGGACAAUGGAGGAAACUCUGAUCCAGCAAUUCUGUGUGUGUGAAGAAGGUCUUCGGAUUGUAAAACACUUUUAGUUGGGAAGAAACAAAUGACGGUACCAAC